AGUCACUGACAUUAGAUACCCCGGUAGUCCAGGGUGUAAACGCUGCAGACUUGGUGUUGGGAACCCUUCGGGGGUGCUCAGUGCCGGAGAGAAGUUGUUAAGUCUGCUACUUGGGAGUACGUCCGCAAGGAUGAAACUUAAAGGAAUUGGCGGGGGAGCACCGCAACGGGAGGAGCGUGCGGUUUAAUUGGAUUCAACGCCGAAAAACUCACCAGCAGCGACUGUUACAUGAAAGUCAGGUUGAUGACCUUACUAGAUUUUUCAG
rnacentral:rRNA from 1 species